rnacentral:rRNA from 1 species
GACGUAGGGUGCGAGCGCUGUCCGGAUUUAUUGGGCGUAAAGAGCUCGUAGGCGGCUCGUCGCGUCAGCUGUGAAAACCCGCAGCUUAACUGUGGGCUUGCAGCUGAUACGGGCGGGCUAGAGUUCGGUAGGGGAGACUGGAAUUCCUGGUGUAGCGGUGAAAUGCGCAGAUAUCAGGAGGAACACCGGUGGCGAAGGCGGGUCUCUGGGCCGAUACUGACGCUGAGGAGCGAAAGCGUGGGGAGCGAACAGG